CAGAUUGAACGCUGGCGGCAGGCUUAACACAUGCAAGUCGAGCGGGGRAAGGUAGCUUGCUACUGGACCUAGCGGCGGACGGGUGAGUAAUGCUUAGGAAUCUGCCUAAGUGGGGGACAACAUCUCGAAAGGGAUGCUAAUACCGCAUACGUCCUACGGGAGAGCAGGGGAUCUUCGGACCUUGCGCUAAUAGAUGAGCCUAAGUCGGAUUAGCUAGUUGGUGGGGUAAAGGCCUACCAAGGCGACGAUCUGUAGCGGGUCUGAGAGGAUGAUCCGCCACACUGGGACUGAGACACGGCCCAGACUCCUACGGGAGGCAGCAGUGGGGAAUAUUGGACAAUGGGCGCAAGCCUGAUCCAGCCAUGCCGCGUGUGUGAAGAAGGCCUUAUGGUUGUAAAGCACUUUAAGCGAGGAGGAGGCUACUUUAGAUAAUACCUAGAGAUAGUGGACGUAACUCGCAGAAUAAGCACCGGCUAACUCUGUGCCAGCAGCCGCGGUAAUACAGAGGGUGCAAGCGUUAAUCGGAUUUACUGGGCGUAAAGCGCGCGUAGGCGGCUAAUUAAGUCAAAUGUGAAAUCCCCGAGCUUAACUUGGGAAUUGCAUUCGAUACUGGUUAGCUAGAGUGUGGGAGAGGAUGGUAGAAUUCCAGGUGUAGCGGUGAAAUGCGUAGAGAUCUGGAGGAAUACCGAUGGCGAAGGCAGCCAUCUGGCCUAACACUGACGCUGAGGUGCGAAAGCAUGGGGAGCAAACAGGAUUAGAUACCCUGGUAGUCCAUGCCGUAAACGAUGUCUACUAGCCGUUGGGGCCUUUGAGGCUUUAGUGGCGCAGCUAACGCGAUAAGUAGACCGCCUGGGGAGUACGGUCGCAAGACUAAAACUCAAAUGAAUUGACGGGGGCCCGCACAAGCGGUGGAGCAUGUGGUUUAAUUCGAUGCAACGCGAAGAACCUUACCUGGCCUUGACAUAGUAAGAACUUUCCAGAGAUGGAUUGGUGCCUUCGGGAACUUACAUACAGGUGCUGCAUGGCU
rnacentral:rRNA from 1 species